GAAUGCGGCUGCUACCAUGCAGUCGAACGGGAUCCCUUGGAUUCGUCUGAGGGUGAGAGUGGCGAACGGGUGAGUAACACGUAGGUGACCUGCCCCGAAGAGGGGAAUAACCACUGGAAACGGUGGCUAAUACCCCAUAGUCUCCACAGUUCGUUCUGUGGAGUAAAGUCCCCGCGAGGGGUGCGCUUCGGGAGGGGCCUGCGGCCCAUCAGGUAGUUGGUAGGGUAACGGCCUACCAAGCCUAUGACGGGUAGGGGGCGUGAGAGCGUGACCCCCCACACUGGCACUGAGACACGGGCCAGACUCCUACGGGAGGCAGCAGUGAGGAAUAUUGCCCAAUGGACGCAAGUCUGAGGCAGCAACGCCGCGUGGGCGAUGAAGGCCUUCGGGUUGUAAAGCCCUUUUCUGGGGGACGAGAAAGGACGGUACCUCAGGAAUAAGUCACGGCUAACUACGUGCCAGCAGCCGCGGUAAUACGUAGGUGGCCAGCGUUAUCCGGAUUCACUGGGCGUAAAGCGCGUGCAGGCGGUUCCGUAAGUCGGACGUGAAAGCUCCUGGCUUAACUGGGAGAGGUCGUUCGAUACUGCGGGGCUUGAGGUCGGGAGAGGGACGUGGAAUUCCCGGUGUAGUGGUGGAAUGCGUAGAUAUCGGGAGGAACACCAGUGGCGAAGGCGGCGUCCUGGCCCGCACCUGACGCUAAGACGCGAAAGCGUGGGGAGCGAACGGGAUUAGAUACCCCGGUAGUCCACGCUGUAAACGGUGGAUACUAGGUGUUGGUGGCUAUCGUCAUCAGUGCCGUAGCUAACGCGUUAAGUAUCCCGCCUGGGGACUACGGCCGCAAGGCUAAAACUCAAAGGAAUUGACGG
rnacentral:rRNA from 1 species